UGAAUUUGGAGAUUUUAUGCCAUUCCGAUGGUGUCUAUUGAUCAUUACCAUAAAAAUACCUGAACUAUGUGGCCUUGGCUUGGAGGCCAGGUGGUGGGCACACACGGACCUGUUCCAGACACCAGCGUCUCUGAAGCUCUGCAGCCAAAUGCAGGCUUGACUGAUCUGGAGGCUUCUUCAUGCUCCAAGGUGAGCGGCGAGACUCAGGAAGGUGCCUGGGGCACAGAAUAGAAGAAAAGCCCUUCUCAAUCUGAAGUCCGGGAGCACCAAGGGCGAUGCAGGAAAACACACUGAAGUAAGACAGUGUCUGCUUACACCUGAUUCAUUUUCUGUCAGACACGUAAAAACUCAAAUAUCUUACAUCCUGCUUCCCUCUAACACAUCCAUUUCUGUCAAAACACCAGCAAGAGUUAGGCUUCUUAAA
rnacentral:lncRNA from 1 species